AUGUCCAGCAGGUUUUCAUGAGGUCAUACAUCUCUGGUGGACAGUUGAGUGGGGCAUCCAUUCGACUUCCACUUUCAAUCAUCUGCAUGACAUCAUUUCCUUUCAUUCCCUGUGAACAGCGGAGCAUUCAGAUUAAAGCCUCCCAGCGGUUACCUUGUAGUAGUUCUGCUCCUCAGCGACAGCUUUGGAGAGGCCAAAGUCGCUGAUCUUGGCGUAGUGCUGCGUGACCAGCAGCACGUUCCUGGCAGCCAGGUCUCUGUGGACAAAGUUAUGCUCCUCCAGGUACUUCAUCCCCAUAGACACCUGGUGGACCAGCUCCGUGAUGUUCUUCACCGUUGUUUGCCUAAAGGACAGCUGAAGACAUGAAAGGGUAGAGAGAGGGGA